AUUGAACGCUGGCGGCAUGCUUUACACAUGCAAGUCGAACGGCAGCGCGGGCUUCGGCCUGGCGGUGCGUGGCGAACGGGUGAGUAAUACAUCGGAACGUGCCCAGUAGUGGGGGAUAGCUCGGCGAAAGCCGGAUUAAUACCGCAUACGACCUGAGGGUGAAAGCGGGGGAUCUUCGGACCUCGCGCUAUUGGAGUGGCCGAUGGCAGAUUAGCUAGUUGGUGGGGUAAAGGCCUACCAAGGCGACGAUCUGUAGCUGGUCUGAGAGGACGACCAGCCACACUGGGACUGAGACACGGCCCAGACUCCUACGGGAGGCAGCAGUGGGGAAUUUUGGACAAUGGGCGAAAGCCUGAUCCAGCAAUGCCGCGUGUGUGAUGAAGGCCUUCGGGUUGUAAAGCACUUUUGGCGGGGACGAAGAGGACUGUGCCAAUACCACGGUUCGUUGACGGUACCCGCAGAAUAAGCACCGGCUAACUACGUG
rnacentral:rRNA from 1 species